rnacentral:lncRNA from 1 species
AGUUCCCCGUGUAAAAGAUGCCUUUUUGCUGUCCUCUUUAUCUCCUUUAGAUAAUGGAGAGUUCAUCCAUCUGUGAGGUAAGAGAAGAGCAAAAGAACAACUACAGAGACUUUUCAGAAGUUGCUGCUCCAUUGUGUCUGAAAUCACUUGCCAGUAACAGCUGAGAAUUCUUUGUUAGGAGAAAUAAAUCUGGUCCCACUGAUCCUGUAGUGAUCUCAGGUACUCCUCUGUAAUAUUCUGUUCCUCGCUUUCCCUUCAUUCUUUGAUGCAUUUUUAAACAUUGCAGAUCAUAAAAAUCAUAUUAUUUUCAGGCUGAUAAACCCUUCCUUGCAGCAGAACAAAUGGAGCCUCUCUGGUGGAUACAACUGGUCUGAUGCAAAGGAACAGCUUAGGAAAGGAAGGAAAGCAGCACCUCCAAAAACCCAGAAAGGAGGGGAAUGUACUACAGAACCAGCUGGAUUUGGGGAUUCAAGCAGAUGCAAAAAGCCGAGUGAAGCCAGCGUGUUCCCUGCUGGAGGAAGGACCAGCAUGGACUGUGCUGCCCUGGGACCCUGCCUCAGUGCCCAAGCCUGCAGGUAACUUUUUGCAUUUGAGGACAUCUUUGCACCAUCAAGCACCUUUGGAUGAAGUUUAUUGCAAUGUGCAGGUACUAAUUUAUAUUUCUGUACCGCUGAAACAACACAAAUGGCAAAAAAACCCUUGAACAGACCAGGGUGGGUUGGACACUGGCUGGUAGCUAAAGCUGGUGUCAGCUGGGAGCCCUGCAGUUAGAACCAGCAGAUAUUAAAGACACAGAUGCCAAUCUGAUGUCAAACAUUCCAAGGGAGGAUUAUCCAUUGUGAACUGAGAUGAAUAAAGAAUUACAAUCUUCCA